rnacentral:pre_miRNA from 1 species
CUUGUACUCCCUCCGUCCGAAAAUACUUGUCAUUGAAAUGGAUGCAUCUAGAUGUAUUUUAGUUCUAGACACAUCCAUUUUGAUGACAAGUAAUUCCGGACGAAGGGAGUACUUG